GACGAACGCUGGCGGCGUGCUUAACACAUGCAAGUCGAACGGAAAGGCCCUGCUUUUGUGGGGUGCUCGAGUGGCGAACGGGUGAGUAACACGUGAGUAACCUGCCCUUGACUUUGGGAUAACUUCAGGAAACUGGGGCUAAUACCGGAUAGGAGCUCCUGCUGCAUGGUGGGGGUUGGAAAGUUUCGGCGGUUGGGGAUGGACUCGCGGCUUAUCAGCUUGUUGGUGGGGUAGUGGCUUACCAAGGCUUUGACGGGUAGCCGGCAUGAGAGGGUGACCGGCGACAUUGGGACUGAGAUACGGCCCAGACUCCUACGGGAGGCAGCAGUGGGGAAUAUUGCACAAUGGGCGGAAGCCUGAUGCAGGAACGCCGCGUGCGGGAUGACGGCCUUCGGGUUGUAAACCGCUUUCGCCUGUGACGAAGCGUGAGUGACGGUAAUGGGUAAAGAAGCACCGGCUAACUACGUG
rnacentral:rRNA from 1 species